UGGGGAAUCUUGCACAAUGGGCGAAAGCCUGAUGCAGCGACGCCGCGUGCGGGACGAAGGCCUUCGGGUUGUAAACCGCUUUCAGCAGGGACGAGGCCGCAAGGUGACGGUACCUGCAGAAGAAGCCCCGGCUAACUACGUGCCAGCAGCCGCGGUAAUACGUAGGGGGCGAGCGUUAUCCGGAUUCAUUGGGCGUAAAGCGCGCGUAGGCGGCCAGUUAGGUCGGGAGUUAAAUCCGGGGGCUCAACCCCCGCCCGCUCCCGAUACCGGCUGGCUUGAGUCUGGUAGGGGAAGGCGGAAUUCCAAGUGUAGCGGUGGAAUGCGCAGAUAUUUGGAAGAACACCGGUGGCGAAGGCGGCCUUCUGGGCCACGACUGACGCUGAGGCACGAAAGCUAGGGGAGCGAACAGGAUUAGAUACCCUGGUA
rnacentral:rRNA from 1 species